GGAGCUGCAAAGAGAGAUGGAGGCCACAGGGAAGAGGCCACGAGAUAGUCAGUUGUCUCAUGAAGUAGAAUACAGGUGAAGCCAGAUUAUCACAAGCCAUGAAAACCUUCUGGAGAGAGAUGAGCUUCAGGGGCUGCUGGAUGUACUCCACCUGGAAGCAGAGGCCGAGGACCCCUCCUCCUGGACUAGGGCUCACCUCGCCUCCUGACUGUAUUCUGCCUGUGUUCUCCUCCAGUCCCACCCUUAUUUCUCUUUGUCUAAAUGGCAAACUCCCUUUAAGCAAGAAUUCAUGGCGUCUCCACAUUCGGCCCUCAAGAAACUUUUAUUGAGUUGAACUAAAACCAGGCAUGUCUUAAGUGUUCAUGGCUGAUAAUGCGGGAUCCUUCAACGCUGGAAACGCCCAGAUGGUAACGAGAGUUCUGAUAGUGCCGGAUCCUUCGACGCUGGAAACGCCCAGAUGAAACUUCAUGAUGAUCAACCACACCUCACAUUUGCUUCAUUCAGUCUAUGGACCAGGAAGAAUUUUCUGUGACACAUUCAGGUUCUUACUCAUUUACAGAGUCACAGAUCUGUCAGCCUGGGAACCGGCCCCCAAAUGGAAGACCUAGGCAGUUCUGAUGGGUCCAUCUGCAAGGGGAGUCACAGAAGUGUGUGAUGAGGAGAGGAAGAGAUACAACAGAUGUCUUAUGAGAAGCAGAGGGAGGACCUCAAGAGACUGCCUGGCCCAGUCCCUCACUAGGCGUAAGAAACAAACUCACCCAUCCAAACCCGAAGAAUGGACUCAGAGACCCAGAGAACAGCGAAAGUGAGAUUUUUAAUAAACAGUCAGUCUUGCAAAAUCGGGUGUCUGACGGACAGGCACACCCAGCAGUUUCAACAA
ensembl:lncRNA LINC03066 long intergenic non-protein coding RNA 3066